AUUGAACGCUGGCGGCAGGCCUAACACAUGCAAGUCGGACGAGUGGCGGACGGGUGAGUAAUGCUUGGGAAUCUGGCUUCUGGCGGGGGAUAACGACGGGAAACUGUCGCUAAUACCGAGUACCAUAGGAUCAGCCCUAGGGGGAUUAUGUAGUUGGUGGGGUAUUGGCCUACCAAGACGACGCUACCUAGCUGGUCUGAGAGGAUGACCAGCCACACCGGGACUGAGACACGGCCCGGACUCCUAGGGGAGGCAGCAGUGGGGAAUAUUGCGCAAUGGGGGCAACCUGACGCAGCCAUGCCGCGUGAAUGAAGAAGGCCUUCGGGUUGUAAAGUUCUUUCGGUGACGAGGCGUUAAUCACAGAAGAAGCACCGGCUAACUCCGUGCCAGCCGCCGCGGUAAUAC
rnacentral:rRNA from 1 species